rnacentral:rRNA from 1 species
UACACGCACCCUAGCGUAAAACUCAAAGGACUUGACGGUGUCUCAUACCGCCCUAGAGGAGCCUGUCCUAUAAUCGAUACUCCCCCGCUACACCUCACCCCCCAUUGCAAAGCUUCAACCUAUAUACCGCCGUCGCCAGCUCACCUUACAAAAGCCAAACAGUGUGCAAAAUAGUUCCCCACUAAAAAGUCAGGUCAAGGUGUAGUUAAUUGGGGGGACAGCGAUGGGCUACAUUUUCUAGCAAAGAAGCCCCCAGCAAUAUGAAAUAAUGCCAUAAGACGGAUUUAGCAGUAAAUAGAGCAAGAGCCGCUCAAUUGAAGCUCGCCCUGAGACGCGUACACACCGCCCGUCACCCUCCUCAGAAACCAAAAAUCAAAAUAACUAAGCCCCUCCCCCAAAUCUACCAGAUGAGGCAAGUCGUAACAUGGUAAGUGUACUGGAAAGUGCACUUGGCAAAAC